GAUGAACGCUGGCGGCGUGCUUAACACAUGCAAGUCGAACGAUGAAGCCCAGCUUGCUGGGUGGAUUAGUGGCGAACGGGUGAGUAACACGUGAGUAACCUGCCCUUAACUCUGGGAUAAGCCUGGGAAACUGGGUCUAAUACCGGAUAGGAGCGUCCACCGCAUGGUGGGUGUUGGAAAGAUUUAUCGGUUUUGGAUGGACUCGCGGCCUAUCAGCUUGUUGGUGAGGUAAUGGCUCACCAAGGCGACGACGGGUAGCCGGCCUGAGAGGGUGACCGGCCACACUGGGACUGAGAAACGGCCCAGACUCCUACGGGAGGCAGAAGUGGGGAAUAUUGCACAAUGGGCGAAAGCCUGAUGCAGCGACGCCGCGUGAGGGAUGACGGCCUUCGGGUUGUAAACCUCUUUCAGUAGGGAAGAAGCGAAAGUGACGGUACCUGCAGAAGAAGCACCGGCUAACUACGUG
rnacentral:rRNA from 1 species